AUUCCUACGGGAGGCAGCAGUGGGGAAUUUUGGACAAUGGGCGAAAGCCUGAUCCAGCAAUGCCGCGUGUGUGAAGAAGGCCUUCGGGUUGUAAAGCACUUUUGUCCGGAAAGAAAUCCUUGGCUCUAAUACAGUCGGGGGAUGACGGUACCGGAAGAAUAAGCACCGGCUAACUACGUGCCAGCAGCCGCGGUAAUACGUAGGGUGCGAGCGUUAAUCGGAAUUACUGGGCGUAAAGCGUGCGCAGGCGGUUUGCUAAGACCGAUGUGAAAUCCCCGGGCUCAACCUGGGAACUGCAUUGGUGACUGGCAGGCUAGAGUAUGGCAGAGGGGGGUAGAAUUCCACGUGUAGUAGUGAAAUGCGUAGAGAUGUGGAGGAAUACCGAUGGCGAAGGCAGCCCCCUGGGCCAAUACUGACGCUCAUGCACGAAAGCGUGGGGAGCAAACAGGAUUAGAAACCCCAGUAGUCCCAUG
rnacentral:rRNA from 1 species